UGGGGAAUAUUGGACAAUGGGGGCAACCCUGAUCCAGCCAUGCCGCGUGAGUGAUGAAGGCCCUAGGGUUGUAAAGCUCUUUCACCCGGGAAGAUGAUGACGGUACCGGGAGAAGAAGCCCCGGCUAACUCCGUGCCAGCAGCCGCGGUAAUACGGAGGGGGCAAGCGUUGUUCGGAAUUACUGGGCGUAAAGGGCGCGUAGGCGGCUUAUCAAGUCAGAGGUGAAAUCCGUGGGCUCAACCUGCGAACUGCCUUUGAAACUGAUGGGCUUGAGUCCGGGAGAGGUGAGUGGAAUUCCCAGUGUAGAGGUGAAAUUCGUAGAUAUUGGGAAGAACACCAGUGGCGAAGGCGGCUCACUGGACCGGCACUGACGCUGAGGCGCGAAAGCGUGGGGAGCAAACAGGAUUAGAUACCCCCGUAGUCC
rnacentral:rRNA from 1 species